UUGAGGAGGUAGCUUGAAACAGAUGAGGGCUCGCUUUACAAUUUCCCUUCUAUCCCUGAUCUCCUUCGUCUCUCUCCGUAGCUACCUCUUCAACUUCCACCGUCGCUUCCUCUUCAACCUCCACCGCCGCUUCCUCUUCAACCUUUCACCAUCCCUUGUUCUAGGCUACAUUCACCUCAAAUCUCUGAUCUCAGAUCUCAGAUCUCAACCUUUCACCCUCCCUUCUUUCGGAUCUCAGAUCUGCCGUUGACGUUGCUCAUUGCCACUAGUUUACUACACUCCCUCACGCCGCCGAGCUCGUUGUCGCCGCCGACGGCUCUUUCUUGCCAUUGCUACUCAGCUUUUUUGAGAAUGCUCCUGACGCAGCAGUGAUUGCCAAAUGCCAAAUGCCUAAACUGUUUAAUACACUAACAGCAGAAGGAAACACCACUGGGUUUGGCCACACGAUCUGCUCACCUAGUGUUCAACAUUGAAUGAAGAAAAAAUAUUUGAAGUUCAGGACAGCUUAUCACUGUUUCCUUUAGGCUGGAUACAUAGUUGAUGGAAACUUUGGAUGGAUUGGCUGUUAGUUAAGUACAUUAAGUUCAUGAAUACAUUUGGGAAGCAGUGGAUACUGUACAGAAUCAUUAAGAGAUCUUGUUACUAUAAAUCCGAAGCUGCUGUUAAUGUUCACAAUGUUUAUAAUUGGCUAUUUGCAAAUUGAAUCUUGAUUUCAUUAGGAACCACUGCAUACAUAGAGCAAUCACUCCCUUAUCCACAAGAUGGAAAACAGGGAUUGGAUCAGGAUAGUGAGAUUCCAUCACCAAAAGAGUUAGGAAGUAGGUCUUCUGGAGCAAGCAAUAAGGAAGCAUGACCUUGCUUGAUAUGUUAAGACGUAUAUUAAGAAUUAUAUGUUAAGACGUAUUAUUGAAAAAUGUUACUUUGAUACUUUAUUUUUAGAUUAUGACAUUUCAAUUAUGACUUGGAUUAUGACUUUUGGAUCAUGUAUGAAUUAAAAAUCAUCUAAUGAUGUUUGAUUUAUGAUUA